rnacentral:rRNA from 1 species
CAGCCGUAAACUAUGCGCGUUAGGUGUACUGGUGACCACGAGUCACCGGGGUGCCGAAGGGAAACCGUGAAACGUGCCGCCUGGGAAGUACGGUCGCAAGGCUGAAACUUAAAGGAAUUGGCGGGGGGAGCACCACAACGGGUGGAGCCUGCGGUUUAAUUGGACUCAACGCCGGAAAUCUCACCGGAUAGGACAGCAGAAUGAUUGCCGGGCUGAAGACCCUGCAUGACUAGCUGAGACGGAGGUGCAUGGCGUCAGUGACU